rnacentral:rRNA from 1 species
UACGUAGGGUGCGAGCGUUGUCCGGAAUUACUGGGCGUAAAGGGCGUGCAGGCGGUCUGUUAAGUGCAGGGUGAAAGCUCCCGGCUCAACUGGGAGAGGUCCUUGCAUACUGGCGGACUUGAGGGGGGUAGAGGAAAGUGGAAUUCCCGGUGUAGUGGUGAUAUGCGUAGAUAUCGGGAGGAACACCUGUGGCGAAGGCGGCUUUCUGGGCCCUACCUGACGCUGAGACGCGAAAGCGUGGGGAGCGAACCGG